rnacentral:rRNA from 1 species
GACGAACGCUGGCGGCGUGCCUAACGCAUGCAAGUCGAACGGAGUUAAGAGAGCUUGCUUUCUUGACUUAGUGGCGAACGGGUGAGUAACGCGUGAGGAAUCUGCCUUUCAGUGGGGGACAACAGUUGGAAACGACUGCUAAUACCGCAUAAGCACACGGGACCGCAUGGUUUAGUGUGAAAAACUCCGGUGGUGUGAGAUGGACCCGCGUUGGAUUAGCCAGUUGGCAGGGUAACGGCCUACCAAAGCGACGAUCCAUAGCCGGCCUGAGAGGGUGAACGGCCACAUUGGGACUGAGACACCGGCCCAG